rnacentral:misc_RNA from 1 species
GAUGAAGAACGCAGCGAAAUGCGAUAAGUAGUGUGAAUUGCAGAAUUCAGUGAAUCAUCGAAUCUUUGAACGCACAUUGCGCCCCUUGGUAUUCCAUGGGGCAUGCCUGUUCGAGCGUCAUUUGUACCUUCAAGCUCCGCUUGGUGUUGGGUGUUUGUCUCGCCUCUGCGUGUAGACUCGCCUCAAAACAAUUGGCAGCCGGCGUAUUGAUUUCGGAGCGCAGUACAUCUCGCGCUUUGCACUCAUAACGACGACGUCCAAAAGUACAUUUUUACACUCUUGACCUCGGAUCAGGUAGGGAUACCCGCUGAACUUAAGCAUAUCAAAAGCGGAGGA